GAUGAACGCUAGCGGCAGGCUUAAUACAUGCAAGUCGUGGGGCAGCAGGGUUGUAGCAAUACAAUCGCUGGCGACCGGCAAACGGGUGCGUAACACGUACGCAGCCUUCCCGUUACUGUGGCAUAGCCCAGGGAAACUUGGAUUAAUACCACAUAUUAUAUUGGUGAGGCAUCUCAUUGAUAUCAAAGCUUCGGCGGUAACGGAUGGGCGUGCGGUUGAUUAGGUAGUUGGCGGGGUAACGGCCCACCAAGCCUACGAUCAAUAGCUGAUGUGAGAGCAUGAUCAGCCACACGGGCACUGAGACACGGGCCCGACUCCUACGGGAGGCAGCAGUAAGGAAUAUUGGGCAAUGGACGAAAGUCUGACCCAGCCAUGCCGCGUGAAGGAUUAAGGUCCUCUGGAUUGUAAACUUCUUUUCUCUGGGGCGAAAACCAGCUAUUCUUAGCUAUUUGACAGUACCAGAGGAAUAAGCACCGGCUAACUCCGUGCCAGCAGCCGCAGUAAUAC
rnacentral:rRNA from 1 species